UAUAAAUAUUUUAUCCCAUUCUUUGGGUUGUCUUUUCACUUUGUUGACUGUUUCCUUUUUUGUGCAGGUUUUUAAGUUGAUGUGAUCCCAUGUGUCCAGUUUUGCUUUGGUCACCUGUGCUUGUGGGAUAUAACUCAAGAAAUCCUUGCCCACCCCAAUUUCUUGGAGAGUUUCCCAAAAUGCUUUUUGUAGUAGUUUUGUAGUUUGAGGUCUUAGACUUAAAUCUUUAAGUCAUUUUGAUUUGAUUUUUGUAUAUGGCAAAAGACAGUGCUCUAGUUUCAUUCUUCUGCAUAUGGAUAUUCAGUUUUCCCAACAUCAUAUUGAACAGACUGUCAUGGCGUUUUAUUUCCUAGCACUUCUGGGAUUAAGAAGGCAUAGGGAAGCAUCACUUCCUCUUUGCCUAAUUAUCGUUCUUUCGUGGUCAACAAUAAGAUUUUUCAGUGGUUUUAUCUUUUUUUUGGUUACUCAGAUUCCCAGUAAAGUAAAACAUUCCCAGGUGCAAUGCUCUUAUGCUGCUGCCAAUAGCUAAUGGGAGCCAGGAGGUGAUUUCAUCCUCAGGCACUCAGUGGAAUACAUACCUUGUAGUUGGCCGAUACCGAUCAAUGAAGCUUUGGUUUCAAUGUGACACAGUUGUUUCAGAAUUCACCUUGGGUUUAAUGUUCCUGGAGCUUUAUCCAAGUAUCUGCAAUUUUAUCUAGGUGUUUAUAUAGGUAGGCAUAUUUAAAAAAAGAGGUUGGCAACUAGACUUUUUUAGACAACUAAAUGGGAAAAAUGCCUAGUUCUAUGUAUUUGCUUCAUUUGGUUGCCUUGUUUUAAGAGAGAAACAUAUUUUUGAAUUAAAAAAAGGGCAAAAUGAACCCAGAGUAUUUAAUCAACUAUAGUAACCUUACUGUAGGUGCAGUGUGUCUGGUCAGGAUAACUCCAGCUGAUAUAGAUGUUGUACUUUGGAUCUUUGAAUGGGUCAUUGUGAGUAAGCAAGGUGAAGAAGUACAUAAUAGAAAAUUAAAAUCUUGAUUUGCAGUACUUUCCAGUAGUGACUGAAAAUUUCUUGGUCUGCAAUGUUUAAAAGAAUUAAGAUUUAUUUAAAUAAUUGUAUGAAGAAUUUACAUUCACUGUGAUAAACUACCUCAAGUUAUUAUUUGUAAUUUUCAUAUAUUUUGGUAUAGACUUCUACUCUUAGUGAGGAAGGACACAUUAAAUGGGUUUCUUAAAGUUUGUGUCUUGAUUCCUAAACUCUUAUGUUGGUGGUUAUGUGACUCAAUAGCCCAUAGAUCAGACUUUCAACAUCUGAAUUAUUUACUUGAAAUGACUGGCUAGACUUGCUCAAGGAUUUUUCUUUCAUUGGCUUCCAGUUCUAGUGUCCUUGAAGAGAAUAAUGAUAAUAAUAAUAAUGAAAGAACAUAAAAUGGAGGACACCUUUUUUGAAAUGGCCUUUUGGCUUUCUGUCACAGACUUUUCCUUAGCUUAGUUUCUACAGGUGGAUUGAUUAGCAAUAGAAGAAUAUUAGUCAUGUAUGUAUUUAUGAUGUAAAAUUUCUAAGUGGAGUGUCCUAGCUGUGCUUUGGGAAGGAUAAGACCUGAGAGUGAAUUCCAAUACCACAACUUUCUUCUGAAGCAUGUUUAAUGACUCAUUUAUAAAGCUUUGGGAAUGGGCAAGGGGGCUGAGUAGUGACUGACUUCUUGUCUGUUGCCAUGUCAUGGUGGCCAGAGUGGCAGAAAUGCAUGCUGUAGAGCCACAAUGCAGAGGGCUGCUAGAUUCUUUCUUAAAAAGGGUGUAUUUUAAUCUAUGUGGCUCAGAAGUAAUUUCGAAAGGACCAACGAAUACAAAUCUAUGUUUUUUUUUUUGAAAAGGAAAACAAAGAAAAAGAACAAGAACAAAGUAAAUCUCAGUGGCAUGUCAUCUGGUACAAUGAGUAACUAAGGAAGGCUCUCAUUCUCUUUCUUUUAUACCUAUCAAAAGGACUCUUCAGUGCUUGUUGAAUAAAAUUCUGUAAUGUGGCAUUGAUACAAUGUGGUAUAGUCAAAUGAGAGUUUAUCACUUUGAAGUCCUCUUUGUGGUCAGAUAAUGGUUUGAUCACUUAUAGCUGAAUGAUCUAAGAUAAUUACUUACCCCUCUGCAUCUCAUUUUGCUCACUGUUAAAGUGGAAACUAUACUACUAGGUAGGAUUGUCAUGAAAAUUAGAUAAUAUGUGCCAUGUACAUAGCACAGUGCCUGACAUAUAAUAGGUCUUUCAUAAAUGGUAGCUACUUUGGAACAUUAUUAUUGCUAUUACUAUUAGUACUGUUAGUAAUAAUAAAGUGUAAUUGCAUUGUGUUAUGUGACUGUUUUCCCUGCACACGGCUACAUCCUCUUUGUGGCUGAGGGAUCUUCAGAACCACCAAACAAGUAUUUUGGUCAUUUCUUUGAAAAAUUGCAUUUUUAUGAGAUAUCUUGUCUUUUGUAUUGUAUUUUGCUACCCAGUGAAAACAUUCAAUAUUAUGUCAUCUGUGAGAUCCAUAUUUUAGAACUCUUUUAAAGUCUGCUGUGGUCAGUUCACGGUCUUUCUCUUAGUUCUACAUUGAGGUUUUCUCCUCCAUGUCUUGGCUUUGGCUGAUCCCUCUCUCCCGACUUUCUAAACACUUUCUCUCUCUCUCUCUAUUCCUUGCCCCCAAAUUAUCUUUCUCUGUCCAAUUCAUAAGUUCUUGAGUAACUUAGUUUAGAAAACGAGUUCACAUGAGAGUAUUAUAGUUCCUGGAUAACAUUUACUUUAACUCAAAAAGUAAGCAGUGUGGGAAUUAGAGGUGUCUUGGAAGAAACAGUGGAAAACACUUCAAACUCUUCAGACCACACAAGUUAGCUGCCUCUUUAGCUUGUGCCAAAGGCUGGCUUUGCCAAUACCCUGCCUACAUGAGGCUGCAUCAAGAAUAACUAUUCUUUCCCUGUAGGCCUAGUUCUAAUACUCUAAGGGAAACCACAAUUAGGAGAAAUGCUGCUGGCCUUCUAUCAAUCAUUGUUACAUUUGUGAAAUAAUCCCAAUCUAACUGGAUGUCAAGAUCCUACAGUGUUAAGAGUUGGGAUCAAGGUUGACUAACAUGUGAUCUUAUUAUUUUUGCUUGCAGAAUGAGAAAAGAGGCUUCAAUUGGUUGAAUCAGUAGCAGAAAUGGAAAUCUUCUUCUUUUACUCAUGAAUGGAAGAGGGAGACAGAGUGAGCGUUUUGUACCUUUUAACAAGAAAGGGCCUGAGUUCCUACAUAGUUUAGCAGUGGGAGCCUGUGAUGCUGCCAAAGUCACAAAAGUUCAGGAAGAAGUGAAGAAGGCUGUAGCAGGAUGAUACGAUAUUCUACAGUGUUCACACAGAGGUGCUACAUGGCUGGCCAAGAAAUUCUUACUAGGAAAUUAGCUAUGUAGUCCUACUUCUUUAGGCAGAAGACUCAUCAGAAGACCAUAUUCCAAAGAUAUUGAAUUCCAUUGAAGGAUUUUUCUGCCCCAAUUGAAAUAAUUUUUCUGCUGUAAUCCAGUCAUGUGGUGAGUGACAUUAAUUAAUUUUAUAACUUUACAUUUUUGGGAUGAUCAAAAACUCAUUUUGAUCAUGAUGUAUUAUCCUUUUCAUGUGUUGCUGGAUUCAAUUUGCUAAUGCUUUAUUUUGUAUCUUUCCUCAUGACUACUUUUUCUUUCUUGUGCUCUCCUUGUCAAAUUUUUGUAUCAAGGUUAUGCUAGUCUUAUAAAAUAAAUUUGGUCAGGUUUUUUUUUUUUUUUUCUAUUUCUGUAAUGUUUUUGAAAGAUGUAAAUUAUAUAACCUCAUAGAAUUUGUUGGCUAAAUAAUCUCAGAUUUGUAUUCCCUUUGUGGGAAAUGUUUUGACUUUGGACUCCACUUAUCUAUAGUUAUAGAAUUAUUCAAACUUUUUAUUUAUUUUUUACAGCAAUUUUUAGACAGUUAUAUGUUUCUACGAAUUUGUCCUAUUUAAGUUCAGUUUUAAAAUUAUUGGUAUAAAGUU